rnacentral:misc_RNA from 1 species
AACUCUCAAGCUGGAUGGGCUUUUACUAGUCUGUCUUAGUUUGGAUGUGGACUCUGCUGUGUUACUACGGCUGGUCUUAAAGGCAUUAGCUGAAUCUUGAUGGGGACUUGGUUCUUACUCGGCGUGAUAAUUAUCUGACCGCUGAGGACAUUCUUUCGGGGAUGGCCAGACUCUUUCUUGAAUCGCUUUCUAAUCCAGGCUGGAUAAGUCUCUCUGGGACUUUUCCGUCUAUUUUCAAC